GUGCCAGCAGCCGCGGUAAUUCCUGCUGCAAUAGCGUAUAUUAAAGUUGUUGUGGUUAAAAAGCUUGCAGUUGAACCUUGGGCCUGGCUGGCCGGUCCGCCUCACCGCGUGCACUGGUCCGGCCGGGCCUUUCCCUCUGUGGAACCCCAUACCCUUCACUGGGCGUGGCGGGGAAACAGGACAUUUACUUUGAAAAAAUUAGAGUGCUCCAGGCAGGCCUAUGCUCGAAUACAUUAGCAUGGAAUAAUAAAAUAGGACGCGCGGUUCUAUUUUGUUGGUUUAUAGGACCGCCGUAAUGAUUAAUAGGGACAGUCGGGGGCAUCAGUAUCCAACUGUCAGAGGUGAAAUUCUUGGAUCAGUUGAAGACUAACUACUGCGAAAGCAUUUGCCAAGGAUGUUUUCAUUAAUCAGGAACGAAAGUUAGGGGAUCGAAGACGAUCAGAUACCGUCGUAGUCUUAACCAUAAACUAUGCCGACUAGGGAUCGGACGGUGUUAUUCAUGACCCGUUCGGCACCUUACGAGAAAUCAAAGUGCUUGGGCUCCAGGGGGAGUAUGGUCGCAAGGCUGAAACUUAAAGAAAUUGACGGAAGGGCACCACCAGGGGUGGAGCCUGCGGCUUAAUUUGACUCAACACGGGGAAACUCACCAGGUCCAGACACAAUAAGGAUUGACAGAUUGAGAGCUCUUUCUUGAUUUUGUGGGUGGUGGUGCAUGGGCCGUUCUUAGUUGGUGGGGUGACUUGUCUGCUUAAUUGCGAUAACGAACGAGACCUUAACCUGCUAAAUAGCCCGCAUUGCUCCGGCAGUGCGCUGGCUUCUUAGAGGGACUUUCGGCUCAAGCCGAAGGAAGUUUGAGGGCAUUAACAGGUCUUGUGAUGGC
rnacentral:rRNA from 1 species